rnacentral:siRNA from 1 species
CGGACCAGGCUUCAUCCCCC